rnacentral:rRNA from 1 species
AGCGAACGCUGGCGGCAGGCCUAACACAUGCAAGUCGAACGAAGUGGCGGACGGGUGAGUAACACGUGGGAACGUGCCUUUAGGUUCGGAAUAACUCAGGGAAACUUGUGCUAAUACCGAAUGCCUUUAGAGCGGCCCGCGUCUGAUUAGCUAGUUGGCGAGGUAAAGGCUCACCAAGGGGACGAUCAGUAGAUGGUCUGAGAGGAUGAGCAGCAACAUUGGGGCGGAGACACGGCCCAAACUCCUACGGGAGGCAGCAGUGGGGGAUCGUGCGCAAUGGGCGAAAGCCUGACGCAGCCAUGCCGGGUGAAUGAUGAAGGUCGUAGAGUUGUAAAAUUCUUUCAACGGAGACGCGGUACCCGAAGAAAAAGCCCCGGCUAACUUCGUGCCAGCAGCCGCGGUAAUAC